GCUUACGGCCAUACCACCCGGAACGCGCCCGAUCUCGUCCGAUCUCGGAAGCUAAGCAGGGUCGGGCCUGGUUAGUACUGGGAUGGGAGACCGCCUGGGAAUACCAGGUGCUGUAAGCC
rnacentral:rRNA from 15 species